UACGGAGGGUGCGAGCGUUGUCCGGAAUCACUGGGCGUAAAGGGCGCGUAGGCGGCCUGAUAAGUAGGGGGUGAAAUCCUGCGGCUUAACCGCAGGGCUGCCUUCUAAACUGUCAGGCUGGAGCACAGUAGAGGCAGGUGGAAUUCCCGGUGUAGCGGUGGAAUGCGUAGAUAUCGGGAGGAACACCGGUGGCGAAGGCGGUUCUCUGGGCCUUACCUGACGCUGAGGAGCGAAAGCGUGGGGAGCGAACAGG
rnacentral:rRNA from 1 species